CGAGGAACGCCUCCUGCCUGAGCGCGGCCCGCUGUCGGCUGUCUCCUACAGCUGACCAAUAGAGGGCUUGGGUCCGGAAGUGAUGGACUGGAGGCUUGACUAAUGUGAAAGGGGCCUCUGAAAGAGAAGCCAGCUGCCAUGCCGUGAACUGCAAUGUGAAAAGGCCAAUGUAGCAAGGAUGUGUCCAGCCAACAGCCAGUGAGGAUCUGAGGCCCUCAAGACCAGCAGCCCAUGAGCAACUGAAUUUUGCUAAUAACCAUGUAAGUGAACACAGAAGUGGAUCCUUCCCCAGGCGAGCCUUCAUAUGUCCACAGACCCAGUCAAGACUUUGACUGCAGCCUUGUGAGAGCCCCUAAGCCAGAGGACCCAGCUAAGCCACGUUCAACUUCCUGACCUGUCAGGGUCUCCCUCUGUCACCCAGGCUGCAGUGCAGUGGUACAAUCUUGGAUCACUGCAAUCUCCACCUCCUGAGCUCAAGCAAUCCUCCCACCUCAGCCUCCCGAGUACCUGGAACUAAAGGCACAAAACACCAUGCCCACCUAAUUUUCGUAUUUUUUGGUGGAGAUGGGACUUCACCAUGUUUGCCCAGGCUGGUCUCAAACUCCUGAGCUCAAGAAAUCCACCCACCUCAAUCUCCCAAACUGCUGGGAUUACAGACAUGAGCCACCACACUGGGCCUCCUUUUUUUUUCUUUGAGACAGGGUCUCCCUGUGUUGCCUAGGCUAAGUGAAAUGGUGAAAUCACAGCUCACUGCAACUUCAACCACCCAGGCUUAGGUGAUCCUCCCACCUCAGCCUCCCAGGUAGCUGGGACCACAGGCAUGCACCACUAUCCUUGGCUAGUUUUUUUGUAUUUUUUGUGUUUCAUCAUGUUGCCCAGGCUGGUCUCGAACUCCUGGGCUCAAGCAAUCCGCACCUCAGCCUCCCAAAGUGCUGGGAUUACAGGUGUGAGCCACCA